UAUCUCUGUAGAGUCUGCAUAUCAAUAAGCGGAGGAAAAGAAACUAACAAGGAUUCCCCUAGUAACGGCGAGUGAAGCGGGAAGAGCUCAAAUUUGAAAUCUUCAAGGUUUGACCUUGACGAAUUGUAGUUUAAAGAAGUGUUUUCGGUUAGAGGAGUAGUAAAAGUUCUUUGGAAUAGGACAUCAUAGAGGGUGAGAAUCCCGUAUUUGACUAUUCUUUCUAGCUUUGUGAUACACUUUCAAAGAGUCGGAUUGUUUGGGAAUGCAGUCCAAAAUGGGUGGUAAAUUUCAUCUAAAGCUAAAUAUUGGCGAGAGACCGAUAGCGAACAAGUACCGUGAGGGAAAGAUGAAAAGAACUUUGAAAAGAGAGUUAAACAGUACGUGAAAUUGUCAAAAGGGAAGCGUUUGACACCAGUGUUGUUUUUCCGAAAAUCAAUUAAAAAUUGAUUCAUGCCAGGUUGUAUUGACCUUAUCAGCUUGCAAUUUGGUUUUGGGUCUCUUUUUGAUGCACUUUUCGGUUAACAAGUCAACAUCAAUUUCCUUUGCUGUAAAAAGGUAAGAGGAAGGUGGCUUCAAUUUCGGUUGAAGUGUUUAUAGCCUUUUAUCUCUGCAGUCGGGGAGAUUGAGGUCUGCAGCGUAGAUCCUUCGGGGCUAGAUACAUUUAUGCUAAGUUAUAGCUUUUCAUAGACAACUUGUUGACUAUGUCUAGUCAUGUAGCUUACUCGUAAGUGCUAUUUUACCUACGCUUAGGAUGUUGAGCGCAUGUCUCUCUCU
rnacentral:rRNA from 1 species